ACGUAGGGUGCGAGCGUUAAUCGGAAUUACUGGGCGUAAAGCGUGCGCAGGCGGUUAUUUAAGACAGAUGUGAAAUCCCCGGGCUCAACCUGGGAACUGCGUUUGUGACUGGAUAGCUGGAGUAUGGCAGAGGGGGGUGGAAUUCCACGUGUAGCAGUGAAAUGCGUAGAGAUGUGGAGGAACACCGAUGGCGAAGGCAGCCCCCUGGGCCAAUACUGACGCUCAUGCACGAAAGCGUGGGGAGCAAACAGGAUUAGAUACCCUGGUAGUCCACGCCCUAAACGAUGCGAACUAGGUGUUGGGGAAGGAGACUUUCUUAGUACCGCAGCUAACGCGUGAAGUUCGCCGCCUGGGGAGUACGGUCGCAAGAUUA
rnacentral:rRNA from 1 species